rnacentral:misc_RNA from 1 species
CCACAACCUGACCAUGACAGGAGUUCACUUGCAUAUAUAUGAUGUUACUGCCCAUUUUUCAUAAUUCGUGAGAUUCAUUCCAUGUUAGCAAGGAGGCUGAUAUGCGCUUGUGUUGUACUUUAAGACGUACAAGUUGCAAAAGAUGAAAACGUUGCCUAGUGUACGCAGCUCAAAGAUUAUAGAAGGUUUAGCUAUUAAGCGGUGAGUGUGACAUAUGUAAAAUUACUAUGAGAAGGGAUAGUGUUUGUAAUUUUUCUGCUGUUUAUAGUUCAUACGGAGGGAAGUUGGGUUAGUUUGUGCAUUGUAAUACCAAGGGGAUGAUACGAGAG